AAAGGAUUAGUUUUAACUAAAACACUUAAUUUCGGCUUAAAUAAUCCUGGAGAAAACCCAGGAUCCUUAA
rnacentral:tRNA from 1 species